AUUGAACGCUGGCGGCAUGCCUUACACAUGCAAGUCGAACGGUAACGCGGGGCAACCUGGCGACGAGUGGCGAACGGGUGAGUAAAGUAUCGGAACGUGCCCAAUAGUGGGGGAUAGCCCGGCGAAAGCCGGAUUAAUACCGCAUGAGACCUGAGGGUGAAAGCGGGGGACUCACAAGAGCCUCGCGCUGUUGGAGCGGCCGAUAUCAGAUUAGGUAGUUGGUGGGGUAAAGGCCUACCAAGCCGACGAUCUGUAGCUGGUCUGAGAGGACGACCAGCCACACUGGGACUGAGACACGGCCCAGACUCCUACGGGAGGCAGCAGUGGGAAAUUUUGGACAAUGGGCGCAAGCCUGAUCCAGCCAUGCCGCGUGC
rnacentral:rRNA from 1 species